CUUCGGCCGCGAGUGGCCCGCCGCCGGUGGCUCGGAGGGCGGUGCUUGCCGCUCAAGCCACGUCCACCACCGCGGCGCCGCCCCAGUCAGCAUGGCCUCGGUCGAUUCGUGAGUCGCCUCCAACAGCUGCGACGACAAAUUAUAUGUCGUACAUGGGGGGAGUAAGCGUAGGCCAGCGCUCUUUCCCUCUUCGCGACAGCCUCCACCUUCCUACGCAUCCUCGCCUCCAGCUGCUCUUUCGCCAGCAAGCUGUCGUCCCAUCCGCCAUGGCCGCCCACUGCUUCCUCCUGGAACAUAGAUUCGCAAAUUUGGGGAUCAGAAACCCUAAAGCAAAACCAGAUUCAAUCUUUAGAACAGAAAUCGCUUGGGGAGGAAGGUUUCUUUCCGCGUGGCGGAGAAGCUGAAGGCGUCUGGUCUCCGCCAUGCGCGACCUCCACGCCUGCACCUGCGACUGCGCCCGGACGAGCCUCUGCAUGUGGCGCAUGGUGUUGGCCAUCUGCCGCUUCACCUCCUGCCCCCUCACCGUCCUCUGAAGCCUCAUCAUCCCCCUUAGCGCCUUGUACCUCCGCCUCGCCUGCCUCACGAGAACCACCGUACAGUUCCAUUAAUCUCCUCUCAAUUUCAUUCCUGAACAAUGAACAUUCAGAUUAAUCGUUACCCUGUAACCUCUGUACGCCGCUUGAAUCUUGAUUGCUGAAACGCGAGCAUGGUCGAGCUCGAUCGUUGUCUGAACUCUCCGACGGCGGCAUUCACUUUCUGCAUCUUCGAGUAUCUUCUCAAUGCUGCUCGGUUCUCCAUGAAUGAAGAUGAUCAGGAAGAGGAUGGUGAUGGUCUCAAUUCAACUUUGCUUCAGCAGAAAGCCUAGGGAAGAUUGCAACAGUGGGUUGGUGGCUGGUAUCUGAUGAAUCAAAGUAGAUCUAAGUUGGAUUCUUUUUUUCUUCAAUGUUUAAAAGUAUUUUUUGUAUAUGAUUUUGAUUUGAUUUAAUUUGAUUUGAAUGAUUUAUAAUAGGGCUCAACAACUCUUAGCUAGAGAGUGGCCAACAAAUUGGAAAGUGGCAUGGAUAGUUGCUUAUAAGCUACUCUAAAGUAGGGUGGUUAUCUUAUCCAAAUCGUGUCGGAUUUGACUAAGUAUGGUUAGUUUACGAACCUUUAGAUUCGUCAAAUUCUCCACUGAUGUCAUCGAUAUAAUAGUGAGAAAUUCUCUCACAAUCUAAUUGUCUUUAGCAUUAUUUCGGUUAUAGUAGCAUUGAUCCAAAGAA